GUGAAUCAUCGAAUCUUUGAACGCAAAUUGCGCCCGAGGCUUCGGCCAAAGGCAUGUCUGCCUCAGCGUCGGCUUCACCCCUCCCCUCCCUUUCUCGUUUUUUCACAAAGAGAGAAAGGCGAGGGGGACCUGGUUGUCUCGGCCCUCACCGGCCGGGUCCGCCGAAGCACAGAGGCUCGAGCAGGACCCCGCUUACAUGGGCAACAGUCUGGUAGGCGACCUCCCCGGUCGCAUGCCGCUGGUGCCUGGGGCGCCUGCUGCGUCGAGCCCGCAGGAAGUGGCUGCUUGCCACGCCUUCAC
rnacentral:misc_RNA from 1 species